GGGGAUUCAAAUGGAUUUUGCUGUAGGUCCCUGUAUACUUGAGGCCUUCUGGAGGUGGGGAAUGAAAAUGGCAUCUCUAAGCCUUGAAGCAGAGAUCUCUAUCAUGUCAAGAUCCUUCCCUAUGAAGUUCAGGUUUGAUGACUGGAAGUUUCUCUGUAAUUGGUGAAGAUAUGAUAUCCAUGUUAAAGUCAUUCUGAGGAACAGAAUGGGGUUGGAAUCAUGUAAAAAUUAUCCACUGCUACCUUUCCAGUUAAAUAAAGUGGAGAUCAUCUAUUACUGUCAAACAGAGUUAUUUUAGAAGUAAUCGUUUCAGUAGAGUGAGGAGGAUAAACGUCUUUUUGUCACUACCUUGGCAGAUAUUUAAGCUCUCCACACCCCUGCAGUGGCAUUUUCUUGGGAUUAUAGCCAAGCCUUGUCUUCAGGGGACACAGAGACUCCUGCUACACCACAGUCACAGCCCAGAGAAAAGUGACAGCAAACUCAAUGCUGUUCUCAGCUUAUCUGCCAAGACCGAUGUAAUGCUGAAGAAGCUGAAGUUCAAUGACAGAAGCAGAAAGGAAAAAUUGUUUCCUAUUUAAAAUCAAAUAAAUGAAGUAUGAAACUACCCACUCAUCUUGACUUUCAUGAAGAAGAUCAGCA
ensembl:lncRNA